rnacentral:rRNA from 1 species
UACGUAGGUGGCAAGCGUUGUCCGGAAUUACUGGGUGUAAAGCGCGUGUAGGCGGGAGGCCAAGUCUGCUGUGAAAUCGCUCGGCUCAACUGGGCGGGGUCGGUGGAAACUGGUCACCUGGAGGACGGUAGAGGCGAGUGGAAUUCCCGGUGUAGUGGUGAAAUGCGUAGAGAUCGGAAGGAACGUCAAUGGCGAAGGCAGCCACCUGGCAUCAUACUGACGCUGAGGCGCGAAAGCGUGGGGAGCGAACAGG